rnacentral:tRNA from 1 species
GCGGGUGUAGCUCAAUGGUAGAGCUGUAGCUUCCCAAGCUACGACGAGGGUUCGAUUCCCUUCACCCGCUCCA